rnacentral:rRNA from 1 species
CCAAAAAGAGCCGGGGGUAUUGGUUUCAGAGACAUGCAUUUGUUUAACCAAGCAUUGUUGGCCAAGCAAGGUUGGAGGCUCCUGCAAAAUCCAGAUAGUCUGUGUGCGAGAGUCCUAAAAUCUAAAUACUACCCAAAUGGGAAUCUGUUGGAUACAGUGUUUGCACAUGAUGCUUCGCCGAUGUGGAGAGCUAUUGAGUUUGGCUUGGAACUAUUGAAGAAGGGGAUUAUUUGGAGGGUGGGAGAUGGAAAAAGUAUACAAAUCCAAAGGGAUCAAUGGAUCUUGAGAAAGGAAGGCCUCAUGACAGCCGCUUUUGUGAGGCGUUCCCGGAUCAGAUGGGUCAACCAACUCAUGGAACCAGUAGGAAAGCAUGGAAUGAAAUGCUCAUCAGACAAAUUUUCCACCCCUUCGAUGCUGAUGAGAUCUGCAAACUCAGCAUUCCAACCUCGGAGGUAG